GCGCCGCAUUCCGCGGCACCAGGUCCCCCAACCUGUUCAGAGUGCCCGCCACCAUCCCCUGGUGCGGGCACUCACUCU
rnacentral:sRNA from 1 species